ensembl:lncRNA
GUGGAGGCUGAUCUCUCACCACAACACAGAGGCUGAUCUCUCAUGAUCUCUCACCAGGACACGAGCUUUCUGCCUUCAGAUCCUUCUCUACGGACCGUUUGCUGACGGACUUCCCUGGGCCUGCUACCUGAGACCUGCUGCUUCCUCCCUGACCUGCACCCUCUCGUUGCCCAAGACCGGCCUCGCUGCUCCUGCCCUUCGGCCUCGGACCGUCGGAACAUCGUGCAACGGGACUGCUGCCGGAUCCUGGUGAGACAUAGAAGGCUUCCUGAUGCUCCAGAAUGAAAUCCAUCAUGCUCCAAAGGAAUUCCACACAUGGUCUCAUAGCUCCUUAACUGGGAACUGAAGAAACAUUACUGUGUCACUAGAUGGGCCAUCAUGAAAAUGGUAUCUUCCAUCCCUUUCUACCCAAGCAAACAACCUCCUUUCAAGAUGAAUUCUCCAGAAAGCAGAUAACUGAAUUACCUGAGUGCUGAUCCACUUCAAAGGGUCUCUUUAUAGGAGGCAUAAUCAGAUUCUGAUGCUUUGAUCAAGUGAAUCUAUGAACCUGCUUACCCGAUCACAAACUCCUCUAUUUGCCAUGAAGAGAUAAGUCAUCAAUUACAGAACUCACACCUGCUCUGAGUAACAUUAUUGAUGGCUUGAGAGAAGGAAUGCAUAAUUUAAAUGCCUUGGGAAAGCUGGCAGCGGCUUGAGGAUAAAGGAAUUCAAAUGAGACAGAGGGUGGCCAGCCUAGAGUGGUCAGUCACAAGCCAACUUUAUCCAUUGCAAGCAGAAAAAGAGCUGGCCAGACAGAUGUGAAGGCAGCACAAUCUCCUCCCAUUUUGGCCUUGAAUCAUAAGCAUUCACAGAAGACAGAAAAAUAAGUUUUGUCUGAAGCCUGGCCCAAGUUUUGCUGAAUCACUUAGAUUCCUGCAGGUUACUUUUUUGAGCAUCUUACAGCAUCUUCGGAUCAGCCAACAAAGAAAUUUCUUUUGGACACAGCAUGUGGUCAAAUGAAGAUUCUGUUCAAAGUGACAUGAAAUCAGAAAUAUUGGCUAUAUAACAGUAACCCAGAUAUUGAGUGGAAUGAAGAACAAACCUUCUGAGAACACCCAUGGAGAAGUUGCUCAUCUUUGUGGAUUCCUCUUUUUCUGACAUUAUUGGCAUUUUAGAAUCCUUGCUACUACCAGGGCCUUUUGAUCCCUUCACUGUGGUGCCACAAGAUUUGCCCUCUGUAUGUUGUGAGAACUUAAAAAGGAUUGUUUAAGGAGGGCAGCUUCUGUGUAAUUGUACAUCAGCCAUAUUUAGAAUGAUUAUGGCUUUUGUGACAUUGGAAUAAUGUGUUAUUAGCAGUAUUUUAAGGUUUCUAGGCUGGGAAAAUUGCAGUUCCUCCCUGGAUGGCAACAACAGCUGAAGCUGUAGUGAAGAUGAGGAAAAAGGUGGAUUUCACUACCACAUAACUAUUUAUUACGGGAUUCAUGCACUGGUUAAACGCUCACUCCCUCUGUGCUACAUCUUUUGUCACUGUACCAAUACAGACUCCAAGCCUGUCCUCUUCUCAGGACUCAGCAACAGGAACAUUUUACAAGGGGCAACACAAAUGCCAGCCAGGAAAUAAUAAUAAUCCCAUCAAUACAAUAAAUCCAAUUAAUUUACUAAGUACUAUGUAUUGAUUAUCAUCAGACCUAAAAUCCACAAUUCUUUUUGACACUUGCUACAUGUGUUACCCUGGUAACAUACAACUAUAUGUGUUCUAAAUGUUAUCUGGGCAAUUUCCAUGCACAGCAAUAAACAAGGUAAUUCAAAUUCUGCACAACUGUAAACUACUACAUACACAGACAAUUUUACUUCAUGUUCUCAAUAGUUGUUUUUUAAAAGAAGUUUUAAAUUUCUUUGUAGUACUAUAAAUAUUAUUCUUCUCUUUCCAGACUUAGGUAUUCUUUGGUAGUUAUUUGCCCUAAUAGUAGAAUAGGAAGGAAUCAGAAGUCAAAAAACAUCAGUAUCAAGUUUGUCCCUAUUCUCUUGAGUGUCAUUUAAAGAGGAACAUUUGAUCAGUACCAAACUUCUAAAGGGAAUACCAUUUCAAUGUUAAGACUAAUGAGACUAGUUUAAUCUCAUCCCUAUAAACAAAUCAGCUUAGGCCUAAUGAAAUCUUAUUUUUGUAAAUUAAGGCACAAAGGAAACAGUUCACUGUAAACAGACUUGUAGUAUACAUUGUUUAGAGACUAUUGACUUUCAAAUUAGCCUGCUUUUCAAACAUUUCACGUCAAAAAUAUAGUCAAAAUGCAAAUGUAGCAUAAACGGCUCUAUAAUAAAUGCUCAUUCAACAUUUAUUCUUCCUCAAAUCAUCUUUUAAAGCUCUUUCAUGCUAAUGUCUAGAAGAUGUGACAUUAGAAAAAUUGCUUUGACAUGCUAAGGGGCUCCAAGAUUAACAAAAAGAGAAAGAACAAGAUAAAGCUUUCAAAAGACCUAUUUCAGAGGAAUUAUUACUUCCUUUGAAAGUCUUCCAAGGUUGCAGUGCAUUUAAGCUUGUUGGCAUACAUGUAAAUGAAGGACUACAGAAGUAUUCCACUAAAUACAACUUGAAUUAAACCUUCAGGCUAAUGUUAGAGAAUGAGGAUAAAGGCCAGACCCUAGGCUGGCAACAACUCAUUUAAAAUGAAUUCUUUGAGAUAUCCAUGAGAGAGAAUUUUGAUAUUAUAUAUAUAUGUAUACACUCAUAUGCAUACACAAAACACAAGAAAUUAUCAAUGUAAACCCCAUAUAAAAUGGCUUGGACUGAUGGACCUUACUGAUUGAGCAGUAAGCAUUCUAGAUUAGUACAUCAGUGAAUUCUGAGCCACACUAUAAACCAGAAACAAUCUCAGCCAACAAUUUCUCACUCUCAUUGCAUAAAGAUGUACCACUUUGCCACAAUAAAGUCUCGAUUUCAUAACAAACAAAAAACAGGAAUGUAAUUAUCAUGAAAAAAAAUUGGCUUAUAAAACUUAAACUGGUUUAGACCUUCAGUCCUUUGACACCCAAGGAAACAUGAUUAAAGCCACUCCAGUUAUACCCUUCUCUUCAAGCUUCACUGGGAGAACACCACAGAGAAGAGAAUCCAUUCAACUGCAGGGGUUUAUAUUUAACCAACUUAAAAUAAAAUUAACCAUCUACUCAAAUCUGCCAUAUCUUUCCGAGCAGAACUAUUCAAGAAUUUC